CGGACGGGUGAGUAACGCGUGAGAAUCUGCCCUCAGGAGGGGGACAACAGCUGGAAACGGCUGCUAAUACCCCAUAUGCCGCGAGGUGAAAUGAAUUUCGCCUGAGGAUGAGCUCGCGUCUGAUUAGCUAGUUGGUGUAGGUAAUGGCUCACCAAGGCAUCGAUCAGUAGCUGGUCUGAGAGGAUGAUCAGCCACACUGGGACUGAGACACGGCCCAGACUCCUACGGGAGGCAGCAGUGGGGAAUUUUCCGCAAUGGGCGAAAGCCUGACGGAGCAACGCCGCGUGAGGGAUGAAGGCCUCUGGGCUGUAAACCUCUUUUAUCAAGGAAGAAGAUCUGACGGUACUUGAUGAAUAAGCCACGGCUAAUUCCGUGCCAGCAGCCGCGGUAAUACGGGAGUGGCAAGCGUUAUCCGGAAUUAUUGGGCGUAAAGCGUCCGCAGGCGGCCCUUCAAGUCUGCUGUUAAAAAGUGGAGCUUAACUCCAUCAUGGCAGUGGAAACUGUUGGGCUUGAGUGUGGUAGGGGCAGAGGGAAUUCCCGGUGUAGCGGUGAAAUGCAUAGAUAUCGGGAAGAACACCAGUGGCGAAGGCGCUCUGCUGGGCCAUCACUGACGCUCAUGGACGAAAGCCAGGGGAGCGAAAGGGAUUAGAUACCCCUGUAGUCCUGGCCGUAAACGAUGAACAC
rnacentral:rRNA from 1 species